rnacentral:rRNA from 1 species
GACGAACGCUGGCGGCGUGCCUAACACAUGCAAGUUGAGCGACGAACCAGGGCUUGCCCUGGGGCAAAGCAGCGAACGGGUGAGUAACACGUGGGUAACCUACCCCGAUAACCGGGACAACCCGAGGAAACUCGGGCUAAUACCGGAUGUGCUCACUGGACUUCGGUUCAGUGCGUAAAGGAAGCUUCGGCCUCCGUAUCGGGAGGGGCCCGCGGCCCAUUAGUUUGUUGGUGAGGCAACGGCUCACCAAGACCGCGAUGGGUAGCUGGUCUGAGAGGACGAUCAGCCACACUGGGACUGAGACACGGCCCAGACUCCUACGGGAGGCAGCAGUGGGGAAUCUUGCGCAAUGCGCGAAAGCGUGACGCAGCAACGCCGCGUGGGGGAAGAAGGCCUUCGGGUUGUAAACCCCUUUCAGGAGGGACGAAGGUUCGGCGGUGAAUAGCCGUCCGGACUGACGGUACCUCCACAAGAAGCCCCGGCUAACUACGUG